rnacentral:rRNA from 2 species
GCCUUCUGACAAGAUAUAGAAGGUCCAGCCUGCCCAGUGACAAAGUUAAACGGCCGCGGUACCCUAACCGUGCGAAGGUAGCGCAAUCACUUGUUCUUUAAAUAAGGACUAGUAUGAAUGGCAUCACGAGGAUUAUUCUGUCUCCCCCUUUUAAUCAGUGAAACUGAUCUCCCCGUGAAGAAGCGGGGAUUAUUUUAUAAGACGAGAAGACCCUAUGGAGCUUUAAACUUACACCACAUACCUUAAAUAAUUUCAUAAUAAAUAGGUAAAGCCUGUGUGCCAGUUUUCGGUUGGGGUGACCACGGAGCAAAGCAAAACCUCCAUGCUGAAAAGAUAUUUUCUUAAUCCAAGAACAACAUUUCAAAGAAUCAGAAUACUGACAUAAUUGAUCCAAACAAUUUGAUCAACGAACCAAGUUACCCUAGGGAUAACAGCGCAAUCCAUUUCAAGAGCUCAUAUCGACAAAUGGGUUUACGACCUCGAUGUUGGAUCAGGGUAUCCCAGUGGUGCAGCCGCUACUA